UUAGUUUUUCUCAAAAAAGUCAAGUCAAAUAAAAACUAAAUUUUAUGUUUUCCCCAACCAAAUUUCUUAAAAAUGUAUAUAGAGGCAGCUCUUAUAAUCUACAAGUAAGCUAACAUAAAAGUGCUUUGAACUGCAAGAGCAAGUACGUGCGGCCCCAGUCGUGCAUUUUAUUUUUCUUGUAUUCUUGUUGUGUUUUUGCAUUGCAAAAUCCCGUUUUAACUGUUUCUUUUUUAAGGCGGGAUUUUUGGAAGAAAAAUAGAGCUGUGUGUGUGCAGAUGGAUUGUGGACGUAUUUAAAAAAACAACCUGUACAAUAUAUGCAUUUUUUUCUCUAAUAUUUUUUUCAUAAGGUAGGUUGGGAUGAGGAAUAAAAAUAUGAGCAUGAAGUGAUCUGUGGUGUUGCAAUAUUGUUUGUCAAUUAAAAAAAUGGAAUGGCUAAUAGAAAAUCGUCGUUUUGAAGUAAAAGAGCACCAAAGAAAAUAGAACUCAGAUACCAUUACCACUCAAGACCGUUUUGCACAUAUUUUUUUUUUCUUUCUGUCCAUAGAAAUAGACCUUGUGGCUCGAGUAUCGAGUCUUCCUGGCGAACGUUUAUUGUUUCUUUCUAUUAAAAGAAAAUACGGUUGAUGUUGGUCAGGCUGGCUCAACGAGAACGGUUCAUGAAAAAAAAAAACAACAAAAAAACUUACUCAGUAGUUCAGUACCUAACCUACUCACAAAAGAUCUAUUAGAAGAGAAAGAAAGAAUAAGGAAUAUGUAUCUACUUGUACAUAUUUGGGUUGGUUUUUUGUUUGUUUUUUUUUGCAAUUUAGUUUUGUUUUUGUUUCCUUGGAUGGCGCGAUUGAGUAAUUUACCCCGUUUGUAGGACCGAUUUAAAGAUCGAAUUGAAACUGAAUCGAAAUUUCGAUCCAGGUAUAUGGAAGUGCCAGAUCGAGGAAUCGAGUUGAAAUAGAAUCGAAAAAACAAUUUUUCUUUUUAAUAUAUUUGCAGUAAAAUAGAAAAAUCUAACCAAAAACAAAGUGCAAGUAAAACUAGAUAUCAUUAGACAUACAUACAGUGAAUUUGCAAAUAAGAAGACAAUCACACACAAUUUCCACCAUAAAUUAUAUCUCGAGUAUUCAAUUCGUUAGGUAUAUAUGCAUAUUUUCGAUUCGAUUCAGCUCCCCGAAUCGGAUCGACAAAUCCGGAUUCAAUUCGAUUCAGGUAUAUAUAGACCUAAAUCCUGAUUCAAUUCGGAAUCAAUUGGCCAUACAAACGGGGUAAUUGUGUGUAGGUAUGCAAAAGGAAUGUGAAUGCAUUUUAAGAAUGGGUGUCCCCGAAUGACGACCCUUCAAGCAAGAAAACUGAGUUCAACAAAGAAACUCCGACCUCAGACCGCGAAAAUCGGGGUUGCACUCACACACUUACAACUUUUUGUGUAUGAACACAAAAGUCGAACGAGAAUCGUGGUGAAAAAUGAGAAAAGGAAAAGAAAGACAAGGCCAACAAGAGCCAAAGCGUCAUUAUGUUAUUUUUUGUUGAAGUGUUUGGUCGCGUCGUGUCUCGUGUCGUUGUUUGUAUAAUGUUAGAUUAUUAACUAUAAACAAUUAUAUUAAAUUAUAAACAAUAUGGAAAACAAAAAAGAUGUAAUCUCUAAGAAAAAUCCAGAAGGUGAAACAUGCGAUUGGGUAUCUAAAAAAAAAACACCAACAACAGCAGCAGCAUCAAAUGAAAUAAAAUGAAAAAAAUAUAUUGUAUUUUAUAUUGUAUUUAUUGUGAAAAUUUCGUUUGCCAAAAUAAAAUAAAAAAUAAAACA